CGGUAAUUCCAGCUCCAAUAGCGUAUAUUAAUGUUGUUGCAGUUAAAAAGCUCGUAGUUGGAUUUCUGCCCCGCGCAGGUCGGUCCGCCGCACUGCGGUGUGACUGUGCCUGGAGCGUCGCAUCCUUGUGGGGACUAUCGGUGGCAUUAAUCUGUUGUCGUUUGGGAACCGCAUCGUUUACUGUGAAAAAAUUAGAGUGUUCAAAGCAGGCUUAUGCCGUGAAUACAUUAGCAUGGAAUAAUAAGAUAGGACUUUGGUUCUAUUUUGUUGGUUGGAGGCCAAGGUAAUGAUUAAUAGGGACAGUUGGGGGUAUUCAUAUUUAAUUGUCAGAGGUGAAAUUCUUGGAUUUAUGAAAGAUGAACUUAUGCGAAAGCAUUUACCAAGGAUGUUUUCAUUAAUCAAGAACGAGAGUUAGGGGAUCGAAGAGGAUUAGAUACCCUCGUAGUCUUAACCAUAAACUAUGCCGAGUGUACAUUCAAAGACCCCCUCAGCACCGUAUGAGAAAUCAAAGUCUUUGGGUUCCGGGGGGAGUAUGGUCGCAAGGCUGAAACUUGAAGGAAUUGACGGAAGGGCACCACCAGGAGUGGAGCCUGCGGCUUAAUUUGACUCAACACGGGGAAACUCACCAGGUCCGGACAUAGUAAGGAUUGACAGAUUGACAGCUCUUUCUUGAUUCUAUGGGUGGUGGUGCAAGGCCGUCCUUAGUUGGUGGAGUGAUUUGUCUGGUUGAUUCCGUUAACGAACGAGAUCUCCGCCUACUAAAUAGUCACGCGAAUCCGUUUGGAUCGGUAGGCGACUUCUUAGAGGGACACUUGGCGUUUAGUCAAGGGAAGUUGGAGGCAAUAACAGGUCUGUGAUGCCCUUAGAUGUUCUGGGCCGCACGCGCGCUACACUGAUUCAUGCACUAAGUAUACAACCUUGGUAGAAAUGCUUGGGUAAUCUUUGAAACUGAAUCGUGCUGGGGAUUGGAGCUUGUAAUUAUUCUCCAUGAACGAGGAAUUCCUAGUAAACGCGAGUCAUCAGCUCGCAUUGAUUACGUCCCUGCCCUUUGUACACACCGCCCGUCGCACCUACCGAUUGAAUGGUCCGGUGAAAUCUUCGGACCGCGCGAUGAACAGCAAUGGUCGACGCGUGGAAAGUUGCUUAAACCUUACCAUUUAGAGGAAGGUGAAGUCGUAACAAGGUAACC
rnacentral:rRNA from 1 species